AUGCCAAUUACAAUUGGGGGCAAUGCUGUAAGGCGGAGCGAAUUCAGAAAGAUUGCCUAAGUUCGGACUGUUCUCUGCAACUCGAGAACAUGAAG
rnacentral:ncRNA from 1 species